CCUACGGGUGGCAGCAGUGGGGGAUAUUGCACAAUGGAGGAAACCCUGAUGCAGCGACGCCGCGUGGACGAAGAAGUAUUUCGGUAUGUAAAGCCCUAUCAGCAGGGAAGUAGAAAUGACGGUACCUGAGUAAGAAGCACCGGCUAAAUAAGUGCCAGCAGCCGCGGUAAUACGUAUGGUGCAAGCGUUACCCGGAUUUACUGGGUGAAAAGGGAGCGCAGGCGGGACGGCAAGCCUGAUGUGAAAGCUCGCGGCCCAACCGCGGGACUGCAUUGGGAACUACCGGUCUGGAGUGCCGGAGAGGUAGGCGGAAUUCGUGGUGUAGCGGUGAAAUGCGUAGAUAUUAGGAGGAACCCCAGUGGCGAAGGCGGCCUACUGGACGGUGACUGACGCUGAGGCUCGAAAGUGUGGGGAGCAAACAGGAUUAGAUACCCGGGUAGUC
rnacentral:rRNA from 1 species